rnacentral:rRNA from 1 species
GAUGAACGCUGGCGGCGUGCUUAACACAUGCAAGUCGAGCGAUGAAGUUUUCUUCGGGAAACGGAUUAGCGGCGGACGGGUGAGUAACACGUGGGUAACCUGCCUCAUAGAGUGGAAUAGCCUUCCGAAAGGAAGAUUAAUACCGCAUAACGUUGAAAGAUGGCAUCAUCAUUCAACCAAAGGAGCAAUCCGCUAUGAGAUGGACCCGCGGCGCAUUAGCUAGUUGGUGGGGUAACAGCCUACCAAGGCGACGAUGCGUAGCCGACCUGAGAGGGUGAUCGGCCACAUUGGGACUGAGACACGGCCCAGACUCCUACGGGAGGCAGCAGUGGGGAAUAUUGCACAAUGGGGGAAACCCUGAUGCAGCAACGCCGCGUGAGUGAUGAAGGUUUUCGGAUCGUAAAGCUCUGUCUUUGGGGGAGAUAAUGACGGUACCCAAGGAGGAAGCCACGGCUAACUACGUGCCAGCCGCCGCCGUAACAC